rnacentral:rRNA from 1 species
GACGAACGCUGGCGGCGUGCUUAACACAUGCAAGUCGAACGGAAAGGCCCUGCUUUUGUGGGGUGCUCGAGUGGCGAACGGGUGAGUAACACGUGAGUAACCUGCCCUUGACUUUGGGAUAACUUCAGGAAACUGGGGCUAAUACCGGAUAGGAGCUCCUGCUGCAUGGUGGGGGUUGGAAAGUUUCGGCGGUUGGGGAUGGACUCGCGGCUUAUCAGCUUGUUGGUGGGGUAGUGGCUUACCAAGGCUUUGACGGGUAGCCGGCCUGAGAGGGUGACCGGCCACAUUGGGACUGAGAUACGGACCAGAAUCCUACGGGAGGCAGCAGGGGGGAAUAUUGCACAAUGGGCGGAAGCCUGAUGCAGAAACGCCGCGUGCGGGAUGACGGCCUUCGGGUUGUAAACCGCUUUCGCCUGUGACGAAGCGUGAGUGACGGUAAUGGGUAAAGAAGCACCGGCUAACUACGUG